rnacentral:ncRNA from 1 species
AGCUCCGGUGCUGUCGGCGCCUUACCAAGCAAGAACCCGGGGAGAAAGAACCCCACCAAGCCCCACCCCUCCCGCCCGAGGCGCGCGAUCACUCGGGCGGGUGAACAUCACCGGCUCAGCUGGAUUUUCGAACCCCAGACACCUCUACGCUCAGCGCAAUCAACCCCACAAAAAACUUCGGCCCCCGCCAGGGCUGCAAUCCCGGUGCGAGGGCCUGACCACCAAGGAAGUCGAGACCUUCCCG